rnacentral:rRNA from 1 species
GAGGUUAAGCGACUAAGCGUACACGGUGGAUGCCCUGGCAGUCAGAGGCGAUGAAGGACGUGCUAAUCUGCGAUAAGCGUCGGUGAGGUGAUAUGAACCGUUAUAACCGGCGAUUUCCGAAUGGGGAAACCCAGUGUGUUUCGACACACUAUCAUUAACUGAAUCCAUAGGUUAAUGAGGCGAACCGGGGGAACUGAAACAUCUAAGUACCCCGAGGAAAAGAAAUCAACCGAGAUUCCCCCAGUAGCGGCGAGCGAACGGGGAGGAGCCCAGAGCCUGAAUCAGUGUGUGUGUUAGUGGAAGCGUCUGGAAAGGCGUGCGAUACAGGGUGACAGCCCCGUACACAAAAAUGCACAUAUUGUGAGCUCGAUGAGUAGGGCGGGACACGUGGUAUCCUGUCUGAAUAUGGGGGGACCAUCCUCCAAGGCUAAAUACUCCUGACUGACCGAUAGUGAACCAGUACCGUGAGGGAAAGGCGAAAAGAACCCCGGCGAGGGGAGUGAAAAAGAACCUGAAACCGUGUACGUACAAGCAGUGGGAGCCUCUUAAUGGGGUGACUGCGUACCUUUUGUAUAAUGGGUCAGCGACUUAUAUUCUGUAGCAAGGUUAACCGAAUAGGGGAGCCGAAGGGAAACCGAGUCUUAACUGGGCGUUAAGUUGCAGGGUAUAGACCCGAAACCCGGUGAUCUAGCCAUGGGCAGGUUGAAGGUUGGGUAACACUAACUGGAGGACCGAACCGACUAAUGUUGAAAAAUUAGCGGAUGACUUGUGGCUGGGGGUGAAAGGCCAAUCAAACCGGGAGAUAGCUGGUUCUCCCCGAAAGCUAUUUAGGUAGCGCCUCGUGAAUUCAUCUCCGGGGGUAGAGCACUGUUUCGGCAAGGGGGUCAUCCCGACUUACCAACCCGAUGCAAACUGCGAAUACCGGAGAAUGUUAUCACGGGAGACACACGGCGGGUGCUAACGUCCGUCGUGAAGAGGGAAACAACCCAGACCGCCAGCUAAGGUCCCAAAGUCAUGGUUAAGUGGGAAACGAUGUGGGAAGGCCCAGACAGCCAGGAUGUUGGCUUAGAAGCAGCCAUCAUUUAAAGAAAGCGUAAUAGCUCACUGGUCGAGUCGGCCUGCGCGGAAGAUGUAACGGGGCUAAACCAUGCACCGAAGCUGCGGCAGCGACACUAUGUGUUGUUGGGUAGGGGAGCGUUCUGUAAGCCUGUGAAGGUGGCCUGUGAGGGUUGCUGGAGGUAUCAGAAGUGCGAAUGCUGACAUAAGUAACGAUAAAGCGGGUGAAAAGCCCGCUCGCCGGAAGACCAAGGGUUCCUGUCCAACGUUAAUCGGGGCAGGGUGAGUCGACCCCUAAGGCGAGGCCGAAAGGCGUAGUCGAUGGGAAACAGGUUAAUAUUCCUGUACUUGGUGUUACUGCGAAGGGGGGACGGAGAAGGCUAUGUUGGCCGGGCGACGGUUGUCCCGGUUUAAGCGUGUAGGCUGGUUUUCCAGGCAAAUCCGGAAAACCAAGGCUGAGGCGUGAUGACGAGGCACUACGGUGCUGAAGCGACAAAUGCCCUGCUUCCAGGAAAAGCCUCUAAGCAUCAGGUAACAUCAAAUCGUACCCCAAACCGACACAGGUGGUCAGGUAGAGAAUACCAAGGCGCUUGAGAGAACUCGGGUGAAGGAACUAGGCAAAAUGGUGCCGUAACUUCGGGAGAAGGCACGCUGAUAUGUAGGUGAAGCGACUUGCUCGUGGAGCUGAAAUCAGUCGAAGAUACCAGCUGGCUGCAACUGUUUAUUAAAAACACAGCACUGUGCAAACACGAAAGUGGACGUAUACGGUGUGACGCCUGCCCGGUGCCGGAAGGUUAAUUGAUGGGGUUAGCGGCAACGCGAAGCUCUUGAUCGAAGCCCCGGUAAACGGCGGCCGUAACUAUAACGGUCCUAAGGUAGCGAAAUUCCUUGUCGGGUAAGUUCCGACCUGCACGAAUGGCGUAAUGAUGGCCAGGCUGUCUCCACCCGAGACUCAGUGAAAUUGAACUCGCUGUGAAGAUGCAGUGUACCCGCGGCAAGACGGAAAGACCCCGUGAACCUUUACUAUAGCUUGACACUGAACAUUGAGCCUUGAUGUGUAGGAUAGGUGGGAGGCUUUGAAGUGUGGACGCCAGUCUGCAUGGAGCCGACCUUGAAAUACCACCCUUUAAUGUUUGAUGUUCUAACGUUGGCCCGUAAUCCGGGUUGCGGACAGUGUCUGGUGGGUAGUUUGACUGGGGCGGUCUCCUCCUAAAGAGUAACGGAGGAGCACGAAGGUUGGCUAAUCCUGGUCGGACAUCAGGAGGUUAGUGCAAUGGCAUAAGCCAGCUUGACUGCGAGCGUGACGGCGCGAGCAGGUGCGAAAGCAGGUCAUAGUGAUCCGGUGGUUCUGAAUGGAAGGGCCAUCGCUCAACGGAUAAAAGGUACUCCGGGGAUAACAGGCUGAUACCGCCCAAGAGUUCAUAUCGACGGCGGUGUUUGGCACCUCGAUGUCGGCUCAUCACAUCCUGGGGCUGAAGUAGGUCCCAAGGGUAUGGCUGUUCGCCAUUUAAAGUGGUACGCGAGCUGGGUUUAGAACGUCGUGAGACAGUUCGGUCCCUAUCUGCCGUGGGCG